UCAAGUCAGCUUGGGUUAUUAUUGUCUAAAAAUGUAUGUGCUGGCUUAAAUUCUUUAAGUGUUAAAACAGCCAAAUCCUUAACAAUGUAGUUUUAUCAGCUCUUACCAGAAUGGCAUAUCUUAGUAAGCAGUGUCAAUCCCUUAUGCAAAAUACCAGACCCUUAAUUGAUUAUAACACAAAGAUAGGUAUGAAACCCUAGUUCCUGUGUUUGCACUGCAAUAAUCCUUCCUGGGAAAAGAAAGCUGAUUUUUAUACCAAAAGACAGAUCUGAAGUCAUUCUUACUUUGGACUUCAGACAUUAAACGUGAACAACUGUUUAAAACUGUCUUUUUCAUCUUUUCCAGAACGCUAGCCUAAAGGCCUCGCAUCUUAAACCCUAAAUUAAACCUAUUGUCAAACCCGUCUCUGGAGCUAAGUCACCCCGUAAAACCCGAGCGUAAAACAUGACAUA